UACGUAGGGUGCGAGCGUUAAUCGGAAUUACUGGGCGUAAAGCGUGCGCAGGCGGCUUUGCAAGACAGAUGUGAAAUCCCCGGGCUCAACCUGGGAACUGCAUUUGUGACUGCAAGGCGAGAGUACGGCAGAGGGGGAUGGAAUUCCGCGUGUAGCAGUGAAAUGCGUAGAUAUGCGGAGGAACACCAAUGGCGAAGGCAAUCCCCUGGGCCUGUACUGACGCUCAUGCACGAAAGCGUGGGGAGCAAACAGG
rnacentral:rRNA from 1 species